AGAAGCCUCAGCAUUAGCAUCUCUCAACGGCUGAGGAGCAAACAGUCGUCCACUUCGAGUGAAACCUCCUGGUCCACCAACGUUGUCCACAACGGGACUCACAAUCACAUGAGUUUUAACCGGUGCACUGAUUGUCACAGGCGCUUGACUUACUGGCCUAAACUGAUUAUCAGCCCUUCUGUUGCUACGGUAGGCGUUAU
rnacentral:lncRNA from 1 species